GACGAACGCUGGCGGCGUGCUUAACACAUGCAAGUCGAACGGAAAGGCCCUGCUUUUGUGGGGUGCUCGAGUUGCGAACGGGUGAGUAACACGUGAGUAACCUGCCCUUGACUUUGGGAUAACUUCAGGAAACUGGGGCUAAUACCGGAUAGGAGCUCCUGCUGCAUGGUGGGGGUUGGAAAGUUUCGGCGGUUGGGGAUGGACACGCGGCUUAUCAGCUUGUUGGUGGGGUAGUGGCUUACCAAGGCUUUGACGGGUAGCCGGCCUGAGAGGGUGACCGGCCACAUUGGGCCUGAGAUACGGCCCAGACUCCUCCGGGAGGCAGGAGUGGGGAAUAUUGCACAAUGGGCGGAAGCCUGAUGCAGCAACGCAGCGUGCGGGAUGACGGCCUUCGGGUUGUAAUCCGCUUUCGCCUGUGACGAAGCGUGAGUGACGGUAAUGGGUAAAGAAGCACCGGCUAACUCCGUG
rnacentral:rRNA from 1 species